GGUCUGGUGGUGCAACGGUAGCACACGCGAAAGGUGUACUUUUUCAAGAAAUAGUUCUUCGCGCGCUCCCUGUUCGAUUCGGGGUCAGGCCU